rnacentral:lncRNA from 1 species
UUCCAGUUUGAUAAAUUGUUUCUUACUACCUCUUGUGUUUUUGUUUUCUUUUGCCAGGGCUGUGUGGCUGAGUGACAAAGAUACCCUUCAGCCAGCUCACUCUGAAUGCAUGACUGAAAGAUCACAUUGAGUGUCUUACAUCCACACUUCCUGUUCGGCAUUGCUUCAAGGAACACAUGGAUUCAUUUCUCAUGCUUUUUAAAUGCGGUGCAUUACUUCCAAGGCCAUGUAAAGCUGACUGACCAUUAAAUUCUCUCAGCAAAAGCCAGACUGCAGGAAAUCCGAGCGCUCCUGCAUGUGGUUCAUGGCAAGUGGAUAUGAAUUUUAAUUAGGUAAUAAAUAAUGAUUUAAUUGUUUGGUCCUGUGAUUUUGUUUUAAAAAUAUUUGAUAACUGCCACC